AGAAAGGGCGCACGGUGGAUGCCUUGGCACUAGGAGCCGAAGAAGGACGGGACUAACACCGAUAUGCUUUGGGGAGCUGUACGUAAGCGUUGAUCCAGAGAUUUCCGAAUGGGGGAACCCACUAUCUUUAGUCGGAUAGUAUCCUUACGUGAAUACAUAGCGUAAGGAAGGCAGACCCAGGGAACUGAAACAUCUAAGUACCUGGAGGAAGAGAAAGAAAAAUCGAUUUCCUGAGUAGCGGCGAGCGAAACGGAAAGAGCCCAAACCAAGAAGCUUGCUUCUUGGGGUUGUAGGACACUCUAUACGGAGUUACAAAAGAAAGUUAUAAAUGAAGCGGUCUGGAAAGGCCCGCCAAAGACGGUAACAGCCCGGUAGUUGAAAUGGCUUUCCCUCCAGAGUGGAUCCUGAGUACGGCGGAACACGUGAAAUUCCGUCGGAAUCCGGGAGGACCAUCUCCCAAGGCUAAAUACUCCCUAGUGACCGAUAGUGAACCAGUACCGUGAGGGAAAGGUGAAAAGCACCCCGGAAGGGGAGUGAAACAGUUCCUGAAACCGUGUGCCUACAAGUAGUUAGAGCCCGUUAAUGGGUGAUAGCGUGCCUUUUGUAGAAUGAACCGGCGAGUUACGAUUUGUUGCAAGGUUAAGCGGAAAAAGCGGAGCCGUAGCGAAAGCGAGUCUGAAUAGGGCGCAUAAGUAACAGGUCGUAGACCCGAAACCAGGUGAUCUACCCAUGUCCAGGAUGAAGGUAAGGUAAUACUUACUGGAGGUCCGAACCCACGCACGUUGAAAAGUGCGGGGAUGAGGUGUGGGUAGCGGAGAAAUUCCAAUCGAACUUGGAGAUAGCUGGUUCUCUCCGAAAUAGCUUUAGGGCUAGCCUCGAGGUAAAGAGUCAUGGAGGUAGAGCACUGUUUGGACUAGGGGCCCUUCUCGGGUUACCGAAUUCAGAUAAACUCCGAAUGCCAUGUACUUAUACUCGGGAGUCAGACUGCGAGUGAUAAGAUCCGUAGUCGAAAGGGAAACAGCCCAGACCACCAGUUAAGGUCCCCAAAUAUAUGUUAAGUGGAAAAGGAUGUGGGGUUGCUUAGACAACCAGGAUGUUGGCUUAGAAGCAGCCACCAUUGAAAGAGUGCGUAAUAGCUCACUGGUCGAGUGACCCCGCGCCGAAAAUGUACCGGGGCUAAACAUAUUACCGAAACUGUGGAUGAACCUCUUCGGAGGUUCGUGGUAGGAGAGCGUUCUAAGGGCGGUGAAGUCAGACCGGAAGGACUGGUGGAGCGCUUAGAAGUGAGAAUGCCGGUAUGAGUAGCGAAAGAAGGGUGAGAAUCCCUUCCACCGAAUAUCUAAGGUUUCCUGAGGAAGGCUCGUCCGCUCAGGGUUAGUCGGGACCUAAGCCGAGGCCGAUAGGCGUAGGCGAUGGACAACAGGUAGAGAUUCCUGUACCAGUGCUAAUUGUUUAACCGAUGGGGUGACACAGAAGGAUAGGGAAUCGCACGAAUGGAAAUGUGCGUCCAAGCAGUGAGUGUGAGAAGUAGGCAAAUCCGCUUCUCGCGAAGCAUGAGCUGUGAUGGGGAAGGAAAUUAAGUACGGAAGUUCCUGAUUUCACGCUGUCAAGAAAAGCCUCUAGGAAGAGUAGUACUGCCCGUACCGCAAACCGACACAGGUAGAUGAGGAGAGAAUCCUAAGGUGAGCGAGAGAACUCUCGUUAAGGAACUCGGCAAAAUGACCCCGUAACUUCGGGAGAAGGGGUGCUCUAUUAGGGUGCAAGCCCGAGAGAGCCGCAGUGAAUAGGCCCAGGCGACUGUUUAGCAAAAACACAGGUCUCUGCAAAACCGUAAGGUGACGUAUAGGGGCUGACGCCUGCCCGGUGCUGGAAGGUUAAGAGGAGUGCUUAGCUUCGGCGAAGGUACGAAUUGAAGCCCCAGUAAACGGCGGCCGUAACUAUAACGGUCCUAAGGUAGCGAAAUUCCUUGUCGGGUAAGUUCCGACCCGCACGAAAGGCGCAACGAUCUGGGCACUGUCUCAACGAGAGACUCGGUGAAAUUAUAGUACCUGUGAAGAUGCAGGUUACCCGCGACAGGACGGAAAGAC
rnacentral:rRNA from 1 species